UUCCGGUUGAUCCUGCCGGAGGCUACCGCUAUUGGAGUUCGAUUAAGCCAUGCGAGUCGCGAGAAAUUAGAUUCUCGGCGUACCGCUCAGUAACACGUGGGUAACCUGCCCUAUGCUGGAUAAUAACCUCGGGAAACUGAGAAUAAUGAUCCAUAGUUCACUACGCCUGGAACGGUGAGUGGAUGAAAGCCCCGGCGGCAUAGGAUGGGCCUGCGGCGUAUCAGGUUGUAGGGGGUGUAACGUACCCUCUAGCCCUCUACGCGUACGGGUGUUGGGAGACAUAGCCCGGAGAUGGAUUCUGAGACACGAAUCCAGACCCUACGGGGUGCAGCAGGCGCGAAAACUUGGCAAUGCGAGAAAUCGUGACCAGGGAACUCCAAGUGCAUCGGGUAAGACCGAUGCUUUUCUUGACUCUAAAUAGGUCUUGGAAUAAGGGGUGGGUAAGGACGGUGCCAGCCGCCGCGGUAAUACCGGCGCCUCAAGUGGUAGUCGCUUUUAUUGGGCCUAAAACGUCCGUAGCCGGUCUGAUACAUUCGUGGGUAAAUCAACCAGCUCAACUGGUUGAAUUCUGCGAGGACGGUCAGACUUGGGACCGGGAGAGGUGUGGGGUACGCUCAGGGUAGGGGUAAAAUCCUGUCAUCCUGAGCGGACCACCUGUUGCGAAGGCGCCACACUAGAACGGAUCCGACGGUCAGGGACGAAGCCUAGGGGCACGAACCGGAUUAGAUACCCGGGUAGUCCUAGGUGUAAACGCUGUGGACUUGAUGUUGGGGGUGCUCCGAGCACUCUCAGUGUCGAAGCGAAGGUGAUAAGUCCACUGCCUGGGAAGUACGGUCGCAAGGCUGAAACUUAAAGGAAUUGGCGGGGGAGCACCGCAACCUGAGGAUUGUGCGGUUUAAUUGGAUUCAACGCCGGA
rnacentral:rRNA from 1 species